rnacentral:rRNA from 1 species
UACGGGGGGGGCAAGCGUUGUCCGGAAUUACUGGGCGUAAAGGGAGCGUAGGCGGAUAGUUUAGUCAGAGGUGAAAGCCCAGGGCUCAACCUUGGAAUUGCCUUUGAUACUGGCUAUCUUGAGUACGGAAGAGGUAUGUGGAACUCCGAGUGUAGAGGUGAAAUUCGUAGAUAUUCGGAAGAACACCAGUGGCGAAGGCGACAUACUGGUCCGUUACUGACGCUGAGGCUCGAAAGCGUGGGGAGCAAACAGG